GUCCACGCCGUAAACGUUGGGCGCUAGGUGUGGGAUCCUUCCACGGAUUCCGUGCCGCAGCUAACGCAUUAAGCGCCCCGCCUGGGGAGUACGGCCGCAAGGCUAAAACUCAAAGGAAUUGACGGGGGCCCGCACAAGCGGCGGAGCAUGUUGCUUAAUUCGACGCAACGCGAAGAACCUUACCAAGGUUUGACAUGCAGGGAAAAGCCGUAGAGAUACGGUGUCCGUAAGGGUCCUGCACAGGUGGUGCAUGGCUGUCGU
rnacentral:rRNA from 1 species